rnacentral:rRNA from 1 species
UACGUAGGUGGCAAGCGUUGUCCGGAUUUACUGGGCGUAAAGAGCGCGCAGGCGGUCGAAUAAGUCGAAUGUGAAAGCCCCCGGCUUAACUGGGGAGGGUCAUUCGAUACUGCUCGACUUGAAGGCAGGAGAGGGAAGUGGAAUUCCCGGUGUAGUGGUGAAAUGCGUAGAUAUCAGGAGGAACACCUGUGGUGUAGACAGCUUACUGGACCACUUCUGACGCUGAGACACGAAAGCGUGGGUAGCAAACAGG